GUUUUUCGCUCUAAGAUGAGCCCGCGCAAGAUUAGCUAGUUGGUGAGGUAAUGGCUCACCAAGGCAACGAUCUUUAACUGGUCUGAGAGGAUGAUCAGUCACACUGGAACUGAGACACGGUCCAGACUCCUACGGGAGGCAGCAGUAGGGAAUAUUGCGCAAUGGGGGAAACCCUGACGCAGCGACGCCGCGUGAGUGAUGAAGGCCUUCGGGUUGUAAAGCUCUGUUGUAGGGGAAUAAAAAAAUG
rnacentral:rRNA from 1 species